UUAAUGUUGCGUGGAAUGGCUGAUGUGGAAGCAAAUCCAGGAUUCAACGGCUACAACUCUCCAGAAUCUGCCUGUCCCAAAGGAAUGGGCUUUUCUACCCAGAGCAGAAUAUAUUUUGUAAACAACAUAGAAAUAAUCCAUAGAAAAAGGGAAAAACUAAUUUUCUCCUAUGCCUAUGCUCCUGCAGAUGCAUUAAUUACUGAUAUUGCUCCCUUCAUUUUGACUCCAGUGUUCUCCAGAAGGCAGCAGGAGCAGAAUCAUUAAGGUUGGAAAAGACCACUCAGAUCUCCAAGUCAUCCCAUCUCCACCGUGCCCUCUAAACCGUGUCCUCAGGAAUGGUGACUCCACCACCUCCAUACUGCUUCCUCAGCCCAGUUAGUGCAGGUGAACGCUGUGCCUCUGAGCUUCCUCUCUGCUUCGGUGCCAUUUGCAACAAACCUGGAGAUGCUGGAGCAGAAAGUGCAAGCAGAUGCUGAUUUGUUCUCUUCCCUCCCGUAUUGAAGUUGUUAGGAACCUGACUGGGAUCAGGAAGGGACACUGAGUGGGCUGGGCAGUGCCCAAGGACAUGGGGACGAACCAGCUGGAUGGAUGGAGGAACUGCUCACCUCUUUCUCCCCAGGGUACCUGCAUGUUGGGAGGCAGCAAGGAAGGAGUGGGAGUCAUGGAAUCAUUAAGGUUGGAAAAGACCUCUAAGAUCGUCCAGUCCAACUGUCCAGCUGCUGCCUGUACUGCCCAGUAAACUGCAUUCCUAAGUACCACACCUACAUGUCCCCUGUAAUGGUGACCCCACCGCCUCUCUGGGCAGCUUCUUCCAGUGCCCAGCCACUCUUUCAGAGAAGUUUUUCCUAAUAUUGAACCUGAACCUCUUCUGGUGCAACUUGAGGCCAUUCCCUCCCACCCUAUGGUUGUAUCUGGGUUGCAGGAAGAGAUGUGAGCUGUGGGGAUGUUUGUUCAUCAACUCAGUGUUUGCUGGUUAUUUGGAACAUCUCUACUGCUGACAACCUUGUGGGCCAAAUACAAGGCUGCUGGCAUCCCAUCCUAUUUGGGGUUGUGCUCAUCUCUGCCACAGCUUCAGGCCAAAAGCUCCGUACUCUGCUAUCCUGGCUUUCAGGAAGGGCCAUUCCCAGCCUCUACAAAGUAUUUGAUUUAGGGGGAAUCAAUCUCCUAAAUUAUCCUCCCUUUUAAACUGGCUAGAACAGCUGGGCUGCAAGCAACAGGGAGUUGUUUUUCUCCUCCUCCCUUCAUCUUCAAACAAUUUUGAAUGCCUGGUGGGGGAGCAUACUCCUCCAUCUGUCCACAACCUCCCCAGGUGGGUAAUAAUAGAUGCUUCUUAUAGAAAAAUUCAAUUAGACUUGACAAGAGAUGUAUGUUAGUGCUUCCUUGCCAGGGCCCUGUCUUGCCAUUUCUGUUCCUCUGCAAGACACCAACUGCAGAAGCUAUUUUGGAGAAACAAAACAACCACCAUUUUCAAGUAUAAUGGUAUUUACAGCCAGGACUGGCUGUGGUGGGCUUUGUGGGAUAGAAAAUUACUGACAGCAAGGUGCAGCAGGCUAGCCAGGAUGUCAGAUGAUGACAGCAGGAAGGCCUGUGUGCAGUGCUGUGACUGGGGCUUCUCUUUGUGCCUCUGAACAGUAAAGCAGCCAAGGUUGGAGAUGUGUUCAUUCAUCUUGGCUGCCAAAAGCUCUGAGCUCUGGUUCCUGUGUUCAGCAGUGGAGGGAGACCUUUCUGUGUGUCUUCCUUUCUUCUUUUCUUCUUCAGCUUUCUAAAUACUUGGCUGAUAAAGUAUCUGUGAAUUAUUUCUGUACAAUUUUUUUUUUGUAUGGUAUAUUGCAUGUCUGCAUUGUUCAUCAGUAUUCCCAAAAUCUACUGUGUAGUAGCCAGGGUCAGCACAACAGAAGCAUUAGAAACCCUCCUUUGGUCACUGAAGCUACAUGUGAUAGAGCCGUUUAGUGGCAGAAAGCAUUAAUGCAGCUAAGCUGUUUUGUCACAGUUGUACUUACUUUCUUUAGUCCUAUGAAACUGCACGGUCUGCAUUCCCACAAAGUCUGUGAUGUGUGAGAGGCCGUUCAGCUCCUGUGCUCUGUUCAGUCUUGGACAGAAGCUGAGUGGGAUGGAUGAAUGCAGUGCAGAUUUCAGUGCACUCAUAUUUCACGUGUUUGACCAAAAGGCAUUAGGAGUAAAAUAUUUGCAAUGGAUCGAGCAAGUGAGAUUAUUCUCCAAGUACACAGGCACCGCCCAUUUUCCUUGCUUGCCUUGUAACUCUAGCACUGGGUGCAAGCAGUCAGUGGCAGCUCUGCAGACUCUGCAGCAGAGCCAUUUUCUUAAUGAAACUGCAAGGCAUGGAGUCUUGGGAAGCAUCUCUUAAAACUGAGUGGGAAGGUCAGGACAGCCAGGCUGCCUCUAGCAAUCAGUGUGAACAUCAGGGGAAGGAAAGACUCUGACAGCUGCAUUUCUUGUAAGGGAGCUGUGUGCACUGAGUGGUUCAACCUAGAUAAGCCUAAAGUGGGGACUGUGGCCCUAUCCUGUAUUUACAAGGGACACAGUAUCUGAAAGCUUAAUCCUGGGCUUUAUCCUGACUAUAACAUGAUGGCUUAGGAAAGAUUCAAUUUAACAAUUGCAUCCAGACCUGGUGUAUUGAUCCCCUCGCUGCCCUGAUCCUUAGGGACACGCCAGGGCCUUGGGGCAGGGCUCUGGCAGUGAGCUGAAUAUUAAUUUUGAAAUGGGGUCAGCUGCACUAAACGCUGUGCUGAAUAAAGCUGCACUGUGUCACUGUGUGACUGUGUGCAAGGUAGUGGAAAGAGCUGACUGGUUCUGGUCUCUCCUGGAGCAGAACAGCGGAGCUCACAGCAGAGCUAUACUCGCAGAUACCCACGGGUCAGAGCUGGGUGUUGUAGGAGCCUUCCUAGAUCUUCUCCAUGCCUUCC